AUUGAACGCUGGCGGCAGGCCUAACACAUGCAAGUCGAGCGGAUGAAGGGAGCUUGCUCCUGGAUUCAGCGGCGGACGGGUGAGUAAUGCCUAGGAAUCUGUCUGGUAGUGGGGGAUAACGUCCGGAAACGGGCGCUAAUACCGCAUACGUCCUGAGGGAGAAAGUGGGGGUUCUUCGGACCUCACGCUAUUUGAUGAGCCUAGGUCGGAUUAGCUAGUUGGUGGGGUAAAGGCCUACCAAGGCGACGAUCCGUAACUGGUCUGAGAGGAUGAUCAGUCACACUGGAACUGAGACACGGUCCAGACUCCUACGGGAGGCAGCAGUGGGGAAUAUUGGACAAAGGGCGAAAGCCUGAUCCAGCCAUGCCGCGUGUGUGAAGAAGGUCUUCGGAUUGUAAAGCACUUUAAGUUGGGAGGAAGGGCAGUAAGUUAAUACCUUGCUGUUUUGACGGUACCAACAGAAUAAGCACCGGCUAACUUCGUG
rnacentral:rRNA from 1 species